AUUGAACGCUGGCGGCAUGCCUUACACAUGCAAGUCGAACGGCAGCGGACCUUCGGGUGCCGGCGAGUGGCGAACGGGUGAGUAAUAUAUCGGAACGUACCUUUCAGUGGGGGAGUAACGUAGCGAAAGUUACGCUAAUACCGCAUAUUCUGUGAGCAGGAAAGCAGGGGAUCGCAAGACCUUGCGCUGAUUGAGCGGCCGAUAUCAGAUUAGCUAGUUGGUGAGGUAAAGGCUCACCAAGGCGACGAUCUGUAGCGGGUCUGAGAGGAUGAUCCGCCACACUGGAACUGAGACACGGUCCAGACUCCUACGGGAGGCAGCAGUGGGGAAUUUUGACAGUGGGCGCAAGCCUGAUCCAGCCAUGCCGCGUGAGUGAAGAAGGCCUCG
rnacentral:rRNA from 1 species